AGCUCUCAAAGUGUAUAUAGUCAUUGCUGCGGUUAAAAAGCUCGUAGUUGGAUCUGCGCCUCAGGACUCGGUCCGCCCACUGGGCGUGAACUGAGCUCCUAGGCUAAAACUGCUGGUUUUCCCUUCGUGGCCUUCACCGGUCGCGUUGGGUGGCUAGCGAGUUUACUUUGAAAAAAUUAGAGUGCUCAAAACAGGCUUUGCCUGAAUAUUCGUGCAUGGAAUAAUGGAAUAGGACUUCGGUUCUAUUUUGUUGGUUUUCUGAACGGAGGUAAUGGUUAAGAGGGACAGACGGGGGCAUUCGUAUCGCUGCGUGAGAGGUGAAAUUCUUGGACCGCAGCGAGACGCCCUACUGCGAAAGCAUUUGCCAAGAAUGUCUUCA
rnacentral:rRNA from 1 species